UACGAUUAGAGAGGAACUUCCUUAAUUUGAUAAAGAGUAUUUACAAAAAACCUUCAGCUAACGUCAUACUUAAUGGUGAGAAACUGAACAUUUUCCCCCCGUGAUCACGGACAAAACAAGGAUCUUCUCUCCAUCACUCCUAUUCAAUAUUGUACUGGACGUCCAAGCUACUGCAAUAUGAGAAAACAGGAAAGAAAAAGAAAUUCAGACUGGGAGAAAAGAAAUAAAACUGUCUUUGUCUACUGAAGCCAUGAUUCUUUAUGUAUAAGAUCCCAAAGAAUCAACAACAACAAAAAUUCUUGAGUCUCCUAACAAGGACCUCACAAUGAUUGAAGAGGACCUUGGCUGAGUUCUUCUUCUACCCAGAAGAAACUCAACAGCCUGCAGAUCAAAGAACAGACUAUCACCACCUUCCAGAAGCCCCCAGGGCUCCACGCAGUGACUCAUUUUCCCCUAAAGGGUGACCCUAUGUUUAUGUAUGACACAACAGUACUGGCUUCUCUUUUGUAUCUGACUUCCUUUG